UACGGAGGGUGCAAGCGUUAAUCGGAAUUACUGGGCGUAAAGCGUGCGCAGGCGGUUUGCUAAGAGAGAUGUGAAAUCCCCGGGCUUAACCUGGGAACUGCGUUUCUAACUGGCAGGCUUGAGUGUGGCAGAGGGGGGUGGAAUUCCACGUGUAGCAGUGAAAUGCGUAGAGAUGUGGAGGAACACCGAUGGCGAAGGCAGCCCCCUGGGCUAACACUGACGCUCAUGCACGAAAGCGUGGGGAGCAAACAGG
rnacentral:rRNA from 1 species